rnacentral:rRNA from 1 species
CCUACGGGAGGCUGCAGUGAGGAAUAUUGGUCAAUGGUCGGGAGACUGAACCAGCCAAGCCGCGUGAGGGAGGAAGGUCCAGAGUAUCGUAAACCUCUUUUGUCAGGGAACAAAGUCGGGGACGUGUCCCCGGCUGCGUGUACCUGCAGAACAAGCAUCGGCUAACUCCGUGCCAGCAGCCGCGGUAAUCCGGAGGAUGCGAGCUUUAUCCGGAUUUAUUGGGUUUAAGGGGUGCGCAGGCGGUCUGUUAAGUCAGCGGUCAAAGCCCGGGGCACAACCCCGGCCCGCCGUUGAAACUGGCAGUCUCGAGUGGGAGAGAAGUAUGCGGAAUGCGCGGUGUAGCGGUGAAAUGCAUAGAUAUCGCGCAGAACUCCGAUUGCGAAGGCAGCAUGCCGGCUCCAGACUGACGCUGAGGCACGAAAGCGUGGGUAUCGAACAGGAUUAGAUACCCGAGUAGUC